UUUUCCUUUAGUUUUUAUUUCCUGAUUUGAGCCUUCUCGGAAUGAGUAGGUGUCUCCUUAACAUGAUUUCAUUUUGAUUUCUCUAGGCUAGCCUGCUGGACCUCUUCCUCCUUCGACCCUACCGCCCCUCCUACUGUGAUUGAUGAGCACACACUAGGAGUCAGAUGAGGACAUUAAAACCCAGGAAGCUGAAAUGUCUUGUCCAAGAUCACACCAUUAUAUAAGAGAGAGUUGGAUCAAUCUGUGCAUGCAGGACCCGUGGAUAUGAAGGGCCAACUGUACUGCUUUUGGUGUA